UGUCCCCUGGCUUGAGUAGCGGAUUUCUACUCCGUGGGUUGCAGGUUCGAAUCCUGCUGGGAUCG
rnacentral:tRNA from 1 species